GAAAGCACGACAUUGCUCACAUUGCUUCCAGUAUUACUUUAGCCAGCUUUUGCUGGCUUUUUUUU
rfam:Escherichia coli ISC11, WGS project CBWP01000000 data, contig: c53